UACGGGGGGGGCAAGCGUUGUUCGGAAUUACUGGGCGUAAAGGGCGCGUAGGCGGCCUGCUAAGUCGGAUGUGAAAUCCCUCGGCUCAACCGAGGAACUGCAUCCGAUACUGGCGGGCUUGAAUCCGGGAGAGGGAUGUGGAAUUCCAGGUGUAGCGGUGAAAUGCGUAGAUAUCUGGAGGAACACCGGUGGCGAAGGCGGCAUCCUGGACCGGCAUUGACGCUGAGGCGCGAAAGCUAGGGGAGCAAACGGG
rnacentral:rRNA from 1 species